AUCAUUUUUCUGUUGCUUUUUUCUUUCUAAUAAUAGCAAUGACAAAUAAGGAGGCAAAACGCGGAGACGAUGAUGGUCGCAAUAAGUGGCAGCAUAACGAACGGAACGGCAAUUUUCCGGACUGAUAAACUCGCAUUCUAAACGGAUGUGCUAUUAUUAGAUCACUGGAUUAUAGAAUUGAUAUUGGUUUCUCGUUCAAUUAACAUAGGAAAGUUUCUGACGAUUAAGACGGAGCAACGAGAUAUAUGUGGCGCGCAAUCCACUCGACGUUAAUAGGCGUGUAUAAUUUAUAAUGCGCAUUGUGUGCGUAAUUAGAGGAAGAAUGGGCAGAAAGAAAUGGAUAACCAAUGCACACGUGAAAGGAAAUGCUCGUUUCUCGUCACGACAGCGCAAUAGCCAACAGCUUGUAACUGAGCACCGGUUAAUUACGUUGUUCCGAGCAUCGAUCGAACGAGCUAUUGCCAUUCUUCCGCUUCUUAUCUAAAGCUGUUGUGAAAAAAUAAUUUACAAUCGAAUUAUUAUCGUGUUAAUAUUUGGAAUGAUAAUUUUUUCAUACUUUGAAUAAAGAUCAAUAUCAAUAACGUUUACGAACGAAA
rnacentral:lncRNA from 1 species